AACUAGAGACCCCAAGCUGUUAGGGGACUUAUCAAAGGUCGGACAGUGAGUGACACUGAUUCUGUGACACCCGGUGUGCUGACUCAAACAGAAGCCAUUUUAUCACUAGUCCAUACCACUAUUCUGAGAGAGUACCGGAUUGACCACACCAUUACAAUGCAAGAGGGCCAUGGUUCAAGCCCCUCUUCUCCACCUGCAGGGAGGAAGCUUUCCUAGUGGAGAAGCAGCACUAUGGGUGUCUUUUCCCUUCCUCUCUACCUCCCCUUCCCUCUCAAUUGCUCUCUGUCCUAUGGAAUAAAUUAACAAUUCAACGGAAAUUCAAAA